UGGGGAAUUUUGGACAAUGGGCGCAAGCCUGAUCCAGCCAUGCCGCGUGCGGGAAGAAGGCCUUCGGGUUGUAAACCGCUUUUGUCAGGGAAGAAAUCUUCUGAGUUAAUACCUCGGGAGGAUGACGGUACCUGAAGAAUAAGCACCGGCUAACUACGUGCCAGCAGCCGCGGUAAUACGUAGGGUGCAAGCGUUAAUCGGAAUUACUGGGCGUAAAGCGUGCGCAGGCGGUUUUNUAAGACAGAGGUGAAAUCCCCGGGCUCAACCUGGGAACUGCCUUUGUGACUGCAAGGCUUGAGUGCGGCAGAGGGGGGCAAUGGAAUUCCGCGUGUAGCAGUGGAAAUUGCGUAGAUAUGCGGAGGAACACCGAUGGCGAAGGCAAUCCCCUGGGCCUGCACUGACGCUCAUGCACG
rnacentral:rRNA from 1 species